rnacentral:rRNA from 2 species
UACGGAGGGUGCAAGCGUUAAUCGGAAUUACUGGGCGUAAAGCGUACGUAGGUGGUUUGUUAAGCCAGCUGUGAAAUCCCCGGGCUCAACCUGGGCACUGCAGUUGGAACUGGCAAGCUAGAGUAGGGUAGAGGGGUGUGGAAUUCCAGGUGUAGCGGUGAAAUGCGUAGAUAUCUGGAGGAACAUCAGUGGCGAAGGCGACACCCUGGACUCAUACUGACACUGAGGUACGAAAGCGUGGGGAGCAAACAGG